rnacentral:rRNA from 1 species
UGGGGAAUUUUGGACAAUGGGCGCAAGCCUGAUCCAGCAAUGCCGCGUGAGUGAAGAAGGCCUUCGGGUUGUAAAGCUCUUUUAGUUGAAAAGAAAAAAUCGUGACUAAUAAUCACGAUUCAUGACGGUAUCAACAGAAAAAGCACCGGCUAACUACGUGCCAGCAGCCGCGGUAAUACGUAGGGUGCAAGCGUUAAUCGGAAUUACUGGGCGUAAAGGGUGCGUAGGUGGUUUUGUAAGUCAGAUGUGAAAUCCCCAGGCUUAACCUGGGAAUUGCGUUUGAAACUGCAAGACUAGAGUGCGGCAGAGGGAGGUGGAAUUCCAUGUGUAGCAGUGAAAUGCGUAGAGAUAUGGAAGAACAUCGAUGGCGAAGGCAACCUCCUGGGCUAGCACUGACGCUCA